AUGGAAACCCUGCUUUGCAGAGCUUGUUUUGCACCAGGCUGGGAGGGCAGAGCAGGGAGGAAUGCACGACAGGGCAGGGCAAUGGCUCCGAGCAGCAGAGCCGAGAGCUGCAAAAGGCUCGGGCUGAGCACAAACAGCGCUCACAGAGGGCAGGGCUGGGGGAAUGGGGCUGCAGGAUGGGCACAGCUGGGCACAGGGGCAGCUGGGGAUGUCCCCUCAGCGUGGGGAUAUCACCCCAGUGUGGGGAUGUCACCUCAGCGUGGGGAUGUCACCCCAGUGUGGGGAUGUCCCCUCAGCGUGGGGAUGUCCCCUCAGCGUGGGGAUGUCACCCCAGUUUGGGGAUGUCCCCUCAGUUUGGGGAUGUCCCCUCAGUUUGGGGAUGUCACCUCAGUGUGGGGAUGUCACCUCAGCGUGGGGAUGUCACCCCAGUGUGGGGAUGUCACCCCAGUAUGGGGAUGUCCCCUCAGUUUGGGGAUGUCACCCCAGCUCAGGCAUGUUACCUCAAUCUGGGGAUGUCACCUCAGCGUGGGGAUGUCCCCUCAGUGUGGGGAUGUCACCUCAGUAUGGGGAUGUCCCCUCAGUAUGGGGAUGUCCCCUCAGUGUGGGGAUGUCACCCCAGUAUGGGGAUGUCCCCUCAGCGUGGGGAUGUCACCCCAGCUCAGGCAUGUUACCUCAAUUUGGGGAUGUCACCUCAGAUUGGGGAUGUUAUCCCAGUGCGGGGAUGUCAUCUCAGUAUGGGGAUGUCACCUCAGUGUGGGGAUGUCACCCCAGUGUGGGGAUGUCACCUCAGUGUGGGGAUGUCCCCUCAGAGUGGGGAUGUCACCCCAGUGUGGGGAUGUCACCUCAGUGUGGGGAUGUCACCUCAGAUUGGGGAUGUCACCCCAGUUUGCGGAUGUCCCCUCAGCGUGGGGAUGUCACCUCAGUAUGGGGAUGUCCCCUCAGUGUGGGGAUGUCCCCUCAGCGUGGGGAUGUCACCUCAGUGUGGGGAUGUCCCCUCAGUGUGGGGAUGUCACCCCAGUGUGGGGAUGUCCCUUCAGCAUGGGGAUGUCCCCUCAGUAUGGGGAUGUCACCCCAGUAUGGGGAUGUCACCUCAGUAUGGGGAUGUCCCCUCAGCGUGGGGAUGUCACCCCAGUUUGGGGAUGUCCCCUCAGCAUGGGGAUGUCACCUCAGUGUGGGGAUGUCACCUCAGCUUGGGGAUGUCAUCUCAGUAUGGGGAUGUCACCUCGGAGUGGGGAUGUCCCCUCAGCGUGGGGAUGUCACCCCAGUAUGGGGAUGUCACAUCAGUGUGGGGAUGUCCCCUCAGCGUGGGGAUGUCACCCCAGUGUGGGGAUGUCCCCUCACUGUGGGGAUGUCCCCUCAGCGUGGGGAUGUCACCCCAGCUCAGGCAUGUUACAUCAAUCUGGGGAUGUCACCUCAGAUUGGGGAUGUCACCCCAGUGUGGGGAUGUCACCCCAGUGUGGGGAUGUCCCCUCAGCGUGGGGAUGUCACCUCAGUGUGGGGAUUUCCCCUCAGUGCAGGGAUGUCACCCCAGUAUGGGGAUGUCCCCUCAGUGUGGGGAUGUCACCCCAGCGUGGGGAUGUCCCCUCAGCUUGGGGAUGUCACCUCAGCUUGGGGAUGUCCCCUCAGUGUGGGGAUGUCACCCCAGCUCAGGCCUGUUACCUCAAUUUGGGGAUGUCACCUCAGCUUGGGGAUGUUAUCCCAGUUUGGGGAUGUCACCCCAACUCAGGGAUGCCAGCCCAGUUUGGGGCUGUGUCCCCUAGAUCAGGGCUGUCACUCCAGCUCAGGGAUGUCACCCCAGCACAGGGCUGUCCUCCAAUUUGGGGAUGUCACCUGUUUGGGGCUGUCACCACAGCUCAAGGCUGUCCCCCCAACUAA
rnacentral:lncRNA from 1 species